AAAGGGGCAGCCUCCCCAUUGGUCUCUACCUUUGAAAUCUCUUCCUAAGUAGGCCUGAGUCAGUGAAAGGCUUCUGGAGGGCGGGACAGAAUAGGGGUAUUAGGCGGAGGAUGGGGUUACUUACCAGUUGACACUCUGGCAAGACCCAUCCCCUAGUUUCCCACCACUAGUCUUGCUUCUACCCUCAAGUGAGGACUGUACUAUGAAUCUUUUGUUAGGAAGCUGCUGCUUGAGAGGCUCUGCCUCUAUGCGACUGGGACGAGACCUACUCUACAAGAAAAAUCUCCUGGUUAGUAAGAGCCCGCCAGGAGAGGAGGACUAGAUCUCUCCAGAGAAAGCUGGGACCAGGAGAGGUGGACAGUUUUCCCUCCCCCAAAAGCCCUCAAGAGUCCUCAUCCAAUGGAAGAGUCUGCUGCCCGGGAGGCUGAUUUCCACCUUCAGUUCUACCCACUCCUGCUUCGCCUGCUCCACCUUUCCCUAAAGAACUAUCGCCUCAUACGCAGAGGUCAGCGAAUCCAUUUUGGGGUAGUUUAAAACAAGCACGCACGGCCCAAAAAAGGAGGGGCUGUAGCCCUUUAAGGACUUCGCCAGGAUGGAUCCGGAGAGGAGUUUAAAAAUGCCAACUCACAGAGCGCGCUGGAUUCUGGGAACUAGGUGCCAGACCGAGAACUACAUUGACCAGUGUGCAACGCAAACACACACGCCUUUACUUCCUUUUGCUCUUCAGGACUCUGGUUUGACGUAGCGCUCCUCAAAGCAAGCUGCCUUAGACUUAUGGCUCAGCCACACCCUUUCACCUAUUGGUGAGCUCGUGAGUUGGUGGGCGUGGCCUAGCGCAGCUCACCCAGGCAAAGGGGUGGCCUCCUUGCCAAUCAGAGCUAAGAGGGCCGGAGAGGCGGGACCUGGGCGAAGUGCUGGCGCCCCAGAGUGGGUGUGGUCACGCUGCCCAGCAGUGGGCGGUGAUUGGCCCUGGGCGGUGCAAUCGCAGCUUGUGCGUCACGACGCCGCCAGCUGAUCGGAGCCUGGAGCCGGUGUGUGCUGGGCGCAGGGAAGACACAGCGCCGCCGGCCGUGGGGGACGGACGCACUGAUUUGCUCCCCUACCCACAGCAGCCCCCCCACCCAGCACCAGGUGGGUGUGAGCUGGGGUCUCCGCCGCACAGGAGGGAACCGUGCUAACAGGGAGCCUGUCCCUCCCACAUCCUCAACUGGCUGAGCCGCAGUAGUUCUUCAGUGGCAAGCUUUAUGUCCUGACCCAGCUAAAGCUGCCAGUUGAAGAACUGUUGCCCUCUGCCCCUGGCUUCAAGGAGGAGGAGGAAGAGGAGAAGGAGCUGCUUUCCCCCUCAUCUGGAAGGUGACGGAACUGGGGCUGGGAAGGUCAGAACAGCGGGAGUGGUGAUGCCUUUUGGAAAAGGGAACCUUGUUCAGUUGGAGACCCUUCAGCCAGAUUGGCCCAGCAAGAGAGAACAGUUGUAGAUUAGAGACCCUCGUUGGGCUGGGGACUAGAUGGCUGUGACUACCCAAGGUUAGUUGGUCUACAUCAGUGUGUGACAAAGGGAAGACAAUGGGAGCAAAGAAAACUGGCAACACCUUUACUCAGAUGUCUUUCUUGACCCUCCUUCCUGUCUCCCUUUCUUUCCUACUGCCUUUCCAGGUGAGGUCCAAAGUAAAUUUCAUCUUCAGGGAAGAGGUCAUACUGAAACUCCCGUCUGAGUAGUCAACCCCAUGCUCUUAGCUUUCCCUGUAUUUCCUCAGACUGGCCUAGACUCCAGUUACAGGGAUAAAUCACCUAUAUGUGGGACUCUUAGGCUUCUUGUCUCAGCUUCAACACCUGUGAGAUGCAGAAUCAUACAGUUGAAUGUGCAGGAGGGAAUCAGAAGCCUACUGUGCAGACUCAGAGCCUGGGCUCUCUUCUCCCUGUGGGUGGGAACAAAACAGCUUUUCAUAUAAGCUGUUGCCCCUCCCCCCCAUCCCUAACCAACACAACCCCAGGAGCUGGGGGUGGGGGGAGGAUUAGAGGGAGGGGGCUAGAGUUAGACCAGGGCUAGGGGCUGGAGGAGCCCAGUCUCUACAUUGACUUCCCACCAUACAAAGGUGGCCCCAGGUUUCCUCUGCCACCCAAAACAGAACUGCAGCCCCUGAUGGGGUUCCAACUGCUGUUCCUCUGUUUCUUCUCUCACUUUACCUUCCAGGAUAAUUUGUGAGACUCAGCUCAGGCUUACGAGGCAGGAAAUUCUCUCCAGCAACCAGGCGAGAUGGGUUGUGGGAUGUGACCCCCUCUGGGGAAUCAAGCUGUGUCAACCUAGCACCCCUGGCUCCUGAUGCCAUGUAACUCUUGGGGCUCAGGCUCUGGUGUGGUUCAACCGUGGCCCAGCCUCCCUGCCUGAAGGUGGCCAAAUUCAGGGGCUGCAGAAAGCUGUCCCGCUGUGGGGCACAAGAUGUACAGGUAGCUGGGUCCUUUUCUCCACUUAUGAGAGAGAUUUAGGGGAGAGUAGAUCAUUGAACCCACCCUUCUGCAGCCUAGGCUGGAUGUGUGUGGGACUGCGGUGGAGGGGGUGGGUAGACUGGGUCCACUCAUAGGCUGCAACAAAGAUUGUUCUGUCCCUGGACAUUGCUUCCGUCCUUUCUUCCCCUCUCCGCUUCACUGGCCACAGUGUCUCCCUCCAGCCCUGGGUAUGUGGCUGUGCCAUCCUCACCCGUCAUGGAGCAGAGAUGAGGAAGAGCAGCCUGGGAACACAGAGGCAGGCAGAAGACCAGUGAAGGACCAGGCCCGGAGAGCACAGGGCCCUGUCUGGGCACCCCGCAGAGGGGACCCAUAAAGGCCAGGAGCACCCCAGGAGGAGGGAGGACGGCCAGCCUCCAUCAAGAACAAGCUCCCGGCCACUGGCUUCAUUCACUAUUUCUCUCCAGUGUCACUACCUCCCUGAGAUAUGAGACUGUGUUAAAAUGUCCUGUUGCUUCAUCCUCCUACUUCUACUCCCUACCCUAUAGAGUGAUAUAAAGCAGCCUCAAGGAGCAAGAGCCAGCUGUGAAAGGACAUAUGUAGGGAAUUCAUAGAAGAAAUUCAAAUGGAUAAAACCAUGAAAAACAAUGUGUGCUUCAUUAGUAAUUAAAGAAAGACAAGCAUAGCUGAAAGCAUUUUUCCCUCGGCAAACUAUAUUUUAAAAAAUAAAAAAAGGAAGACCCAGUAUCGGCAAAGGAGCACUAAAAGAACACUCCCAUACCUUGCUGCAUAUGGGGGUGCGAAUUGGUAUAGCCUUCCUGGAUGUCAGUUUGGUAGUAUGUGUCAGACACCCUAAAAGUGUCCAUCGCCUUUGACCUAGUGAUUCUACACUUGGGAAUUUAUCCUAAGAAAAUAAUUAAAGAUUCAGUUACAAGAUGCUCACCCCAGCAUUGCAAUAGAAAAAAUGAGAAGCAGUUGUCUGAUUGGGAAUUCACUUCUUCUUUGCUGUAAUGAAAAUUUGCAAUGGGGGAUUGCUUAAGUAAAUCAUUGUAUAUCCAUCCAGAUGGUGGAGUACUGCACAGCCAUUAGAAGUCAUGUAGAAGAACAUUUGACUGGAAAGAAAAAUGCUCUUUGAAUAUUAAAAAGGUUAUGAAAAUAGUGUGUAUUAUGUGAUCUCAAUUUUUUUUAAUAUGGGUAUAUUCUUGUAUAUAUAAAACAGAUAAAGACUAAGGACAUAACUCUUAAAUGUUAAUGAUAGUGAUUAUCUUUGGAUGGUGGAACAAAAUCAUUUUGUUGAUUUUCCUCUUUGGCUUUUCUAUUUUAAAAUUUUCUACAUUGUGUAUGGUUCUCAUAUAAUAAAUAAAAUUUAAAAGAA